GAUGAACGCUGGCGGCGUGCUUAAUACAUGCAAGUCGAGCGAACGGACGAGAAGCUUGCUUCUCUGAUGUUAGCGGCGGACGGGUGAGUAACACGUGGAUAACCUACCUAUAAGACUGGGAUAACUUCGGGAAACCGGAGCUAAUACCGGAUAAUAUUUUGAACCGCAUGGUUCAAAAGUAAAAGACGGUCUUGCUGUCACUUAUAGAUGGAUCCGCGCUGCAUUAGCUAGUUGGUAAGGUAACGGCUUACCAAGGCAACGAUGCAUAGCCGACCUGAGAGGGUGAUCGGCCACACUGGAACUGGGACACGGUCCAGACUCCUACGGGAGGCAGCAGUAGGGAAUCUUCCGCAAUGGGCGAAAGCCUGACGGAGCAACGCCGCGUGAGUGAUGAAGGUCUUCGGAUCGUAAAACUCUGUUAUUAGGGAAGAACAUAUGUGUAAGUAACUGUGCACAUCUUGACGGUACCUAAUCAGAAAGCCACGGCUAACUACGUG
rnacentral:rRNA from 1 species